UAUGGCUUAUAAGCAAAGCGCCUGACUAGUAAGCAGGAGAUCACGAGUUCGAGUCUCGUUGGGACCU
rnacentral:tRNA from 1 species